rnacentral:lncRNA from 1 species
GGGAAGGAAAAAGAGAAGAAAAAAAGAAAAAAGAAGAAACAGGAGGAAAACAAGAAGCACUGAAAGGUGAGGUGCCGGUCCUGCUUGAUGACAUGGAUAAGGCUGCCACACAGUGUAUGGAGAGAAGGUUUCAUCAGACAGCGCUCACUCGUGGGAUGCCGCAGAGUGUUUCAGCCAUUUCCCUGCACCAUGUGCUGCAAGUGGUACGUGUUGGCAGUUUUAUAUAGGGAAGGAGACCACAGGCAGCAACAGAUGACUUGGCACCAUUCCCAGCCUUUUCUGCCUUUCCCAAGGCACAUGCUUGAAAUGCUGGUUGUCCGGCUCCAGAGCUGGUAACAUAUCCCAUAAAAUCACCGCUUAAUCAGAAAGAUGAACACAAGAAGACCGAUUGAGACUAAAGAAACGGG